AAAAAUCCAAAAUUUAUAUUCAUUUUCAUAUUACGUCCAUUUUCGGCCAUACUGGCAAACGGCCAAAAGCGACGUUCUUUUUAAGAGGACAGGUUCGAAACUUUGAGAAGAGCGAUGGUAGGAGCAAUAUUACACCAACAGCAUUCAUCACUGGAGAUUUGGCCACCUGGUGGUCGCUAAACAAACUUCUCAUUAACAUAACAAUACAAUAGACAGAGCAGAAGCUGCCGACAACCUGGUAGAUCUAUUCCCUCCCUCCGGUGCCGGCCCCACUCAAUCUCCCUUGCUACUGCAGGUACUGCACUGGUCCACCAAAGUAAGACUUGACAUCUUACAACCCGCGUCAUCUUACAACUACAAGAUACCAGCUUCCGUUCAAGACUAGUACCAGUCACCUUGAGCUCGUCUCCAGCAAACCACUCUGCCCGCUUCUGAACGCUUGCGAUUACAGUGAUUAUCACUGAGGCAGAGGUUGAUAUGCAGGUAAUUAUUGUCGAAUAGAUUGUGAUGAGUGACAGGUGAAUGGGGAGAGGGGGGGUCGCAGUAUCUAGUCGUGUGCUGUGAGUGGCUUGUCGCGCCUGUGCCCGCCUGCCCUCUGGUCUCCACGAGUGCCCUGCAGUGCCUGGCAGUGUCUAGUGGCCGCUACCUGUGGUGGGCGCUUGGCAGGAUUGACGGGGAGUCGGGGAGGCGGGGCGCACAUGAUGAAGCAUUCGCUGUAUCCGGUGCUGGGAGCCAACAGGUGUUGUGUAGUAUCGCUUGGUGAUCCGCUCAGCAAGGGCGAGGAGUCUGGAGAACAUCUGUGUAUUUCAGCUGGGAAUCGGUGUUUACAAUAACGCAGAAACCUUAAGAUGAAAAGCCCUGCGAGCAAGAGAAAUGCCGAGUGUUAAAAAUGUUCGUCCGGAAGCCAAGGUGGUCUUAAAGUGAACUUUGGGGAGGAGAAGCCCAUGUACGGUACUCCGGAGAUGAUGCCAGGAGAGGCAGUGAUGGAGAUGGUACACAUUAUGUGCGUCUUAACAUUUUAGACACGUGUUGCGUUGUCUGUGAAAGUCUGUUUGCCCUUACUGACAUGUAGCAAGUGCAUUUUAGAUUGACACAGACUCGUUAUAUGAACCAGGGAUGUGGUCAGUAAAGUAGGUGAACCAGGAUGUCUUCCUCUAGGCAGAAAUACGGCUUUUGACUGAAGACUUGAAGAACAUUCACAUGUUUCUGACCCCACAAUAUUGUCAGACUGUUGGAGGACGGUUGUGACCCUUGGUGAGGCCGUCAGAGCUGCUGCAGGAAGGGCACGACAACGACGAGACCACUUACCAGGAGUUACUCUCAGUUGCGUGCAUCACACCCGCGUGCGUUACGCCAACAGGAGUGAAUAACUCAGGUAUUGUGAGGCGUCUU